UGGGGAAUAUUGGGCAAUGGGCGAAAGCCUGACCCAGCAACGCCGCGUGAAGGAAGAAGGUCUUCGGAUCGUAAACUUCUAUCCCCGGUGAAGAUAAUGACGGUAACCGGGAAGGAAGCCCCGGCUAACUACGUGCCAGCAGCCGCGGUAAUACGUAGGGGGCAAGCGUUGUCCGGAAUGAUUGGGCGUAAAGGGCGCGUAGGCGGCUCGGUAAGUCUGGAGUGAAAUUCCUGCUUUCAAGGCGGGAACUGCUUUGGAUACUGUCGGGCUUGAGUGCAGGAGAGGUAAGUGGAAUUCCCGGUGUAGCGGUGAAAUGCGUAGAGAUCGGGAGGAACACCAGUGGCGAAGGCGACUUACUGGACUGUAACUGACGCUGAGGCGCGAAAGUGUGGGGAGCAAACAG
rnacentral:rRNA from 1 species